UACGGAGGGGGUUAGCGUUGUUCGGAAUGACUGGGCGUAAAGCGCGCGUAGGCGGACCUGCAAGUCGGGGGUGAAAUCCCGGGGCUCAACCCUGGAAUGGCCUUCGAGACUGCCGGUCUUGAGUUCGAGAGAGGUGGGUGGAAUUCCGAGUGUAGAGGUGAAAUUCGUAGAUAUUCGGAGGAACACCAGUGGCGAAGGCGGCCCACUGGCUCGACACUGACGCUGAGGUGCGAAAGCGUGGGGAGCAAACAGG
rnacentral:rRNA from 1 species